ensembl:lncRNA
CUUUUCACUACUCAGUGCUGCUUCUGCAUUUAACAAAAUAGCUCCCAGCCGUGUUGCUGUCAGAUUUACACCAUCUGGCAACAUUAUGCGAUAGCAAUCGUCUCACUGCUGGGGCUGGCAGAGGAGAUCCGAGAGGAGCCUCUCCUGCACUGCUGAAGCAAAUGGUAGAUGGCAUUAAAGCCAUGUUUAAACUCCAGUUUUCUUCCUCAGGUACAUUCUCCCCACCCCAGCACUUCCCCACAGCUCCAGUGGCAGGACUAACGCCUGUUAACGACAGCAGGCUGUGUGCCCCCCACCCCUCCUCUUGCCCAGGAGCUGGCCUUGCUGCACCCAGCUGGGUGCCACUGGGGGAUGAGGGCACACCUGAAGGGAAAGGGAGGAGACUGAGACCCUCAGGAGCUUAUUAAAGAAGGUGACAUGCAGAGGGUAGUUGGCUCUGCCUUGGAGGGCAAAGUGGGCUGCUGGUGCUAUGCUGAAGAGCAAAGCAGGUGGGGGCUCCCCAGGCCCCAUCCCUGGUAUUGGAAACUUGACUGAAGACUACGUAUCAUGCACUGGAGAAGGAUAUUUGGUUGCAGUGUAUGGAGGCACUAGAGAAUUUCCUAAAGUGGAAAACAUGACCAGAGCUGCCUGGGCUGUGCGGGAUGCUGUGCCCAGGAGCUCCCAGGCGCUGCGGCUGUGCGACGUGACGGGUGCCGGAGCUUUGUGCACCAGGUUUCUACUCUCUCUGCUAAACCAGUGGGUAUUGUGAGGUUCUUCAGAAGCAGCUCAUAACAUAAACUGUGGAGCUGGAGCGUUACGUUCCCAUUUAUUGCGCAGCUGUCUAGUUCAGGCAAAGCCAAAUGUCCAUCCUAUUUAAUUAAAUG